rnacentral:tRNA from 1 species
GCAGUUGUAGCUUAACUGGAUAGAGCAUUCGGCUACGAACCGAAAGGUUGGGGGUUCAAGUCCCUCCAGCUGCACCA